UGAUGAAAAAGACGAUCGAGUGCACGAACUGGGAACAGAUUCAGCAGUGGAGAAGACCAAUGCGAUUUUUUACCGCGGACGUAUCUCCCAAUUCUGGCUAUGAAAAGACCAAUAAUCUUUGCAUCAGCAAGGAAAGACUAACAGGCUUACUGAAAUGGUACUCCACUGGGACAGGACAGGAGGGAGAAAAAUGUCUCGAGAUCCCUUCAGCUGGACAACAUCAAAGGAGAGGUGACAUUCAUCCAACAACAAGGUUCACAAAAUGCCCUAGUGCUCACUGGACAUGUCCCUGGAUUUAAACGUGAUGAUCUACAGCCCCUGCCUUCAGUUCACACUGCCACCAAGGUCAACCAAAGCUACAAAGAUGUUCUUCUUGGGACAGAGAAGAACUAUUGGACCAUCAAGCACCAACAAGAGUGGAGACUUGAAGAAAGCGACGCAUCUCUGAAUCUUACACUGACUCUGAGAGUGCCCAUAGACAGGUUGUGGGCGUGGAGAUGAACUUUUAAAUCUGUAAAUAUGUGGCAAGUACACAAGAGAA